CCCUCUGCUUCAUUAUUUUCUCCUGAUCAACAGGCUUAUUAUCUGAUUACCAGCUCUGCACAGCGGACUUGUAACACUAGCAGCAGUGGAGAUGGAGCAGCAUCAGAACCUGGUGGCUUCUACUCUUCUGAAGAAGAAGAAUACAGCAACAAGGAUCCAUUUGAAGAUAGAUUUCACAGCUGCCUGGGCCUAGCAGCAACAAGAACCUCCAUUUGUCCCUGCCCCCAGGUCAAGAUCUACCGUGGCUCAAGGGCCUUCACCAGAGCCAUCACCACCAAGGACCAGAGGACCAUCAUCACUACAGUGGCCUCCAUCUCCAUCUGCCACAAGAUUAAGAUACACCUCGG